ensembl:snoRNA
AGAGGAACUAAUUUCCAUUGUUUGAGAGAGAAAGUGCUGAAGGGAUGCUAACAGCAAGGGGAACCUCGCCGCCUCUGGAGGACUCUCUGUGCCCUUCAAAGUGAACUUGGAGGUUCUACACAC